rnacentral:lncRNA from 1 species
AACUUCCAUUGUCCUCACUAAGUUUGGGUUUCCCUUACUAUAAGACAUGACUAGUAAUAUCCCAUUAAUUGUUCAUUAUCUAUUGACUAGGACUGUUUUGUUCAGCAGGAUGCACAAAGUCCUUACACUUCUUCAGUGCUCUCCCUGUGGCCCUGGAACACAGACGUGGAAAAAGGAAAACACAAUUCAGAGCCUAAACCCGUCAUAUCAUCCAGCAUUUGCACUGAUAUUGGUGAUGUAUUCUUCUGAAAUACUUGCACCAAAGGAAAACCUUCAUCUCCCCACCACUGUCAAGUCUCAGUGACAAUGAUGCUCUGGACUUAGAUGCUCUGGAGAGGACCUGGUAUAACAAAAUACAGUAAGCCUAACUUGCCAUUAAUGCUGUUUUAAAGAAAAGUUAGUACUCUAUUUUUUUUAUAUUUUAAACAAAUCGGUUACACAUUUCAACAUUAACGAAAGAGUGUAAUUCACUGCUUCUCAUGUUCCUCUGUAUCUAAAUGCAACACUACAACUAGAAAUUGAUUCCCAGAGUACAUUUGUUAAAAACGAACAAGCAAACAAAACUCUGACCAUUCUGGAAGAAGGAAUGAACUGCAGGAUUCUUAAUUCCAGCUGAACCUUUCAAGCCGCACCAAUAGACCUGUGCCAAGGCAAAACAAGUUUGCCAUAUGUGUGAUGCAUGCUGCUUUGUUGAGGCACUAAUCUUACAAUCCCAGAAAUCACACAAUAUUCUCACUUAACUUUGAGAAAAAUGAAGUCAUGUCAAAUGAGAAUGCAACCCUAAGGCCCUCUAUAGCUCCAGUUUCAGUUCUAAUUUCAGACUAGGAUCUUUAUCCUGAAAUCUUUACUCAGACACAGACACACACAUAAAAAGAUAAAAAAAUAAAUAAAUAAAAAUUUGAAUCA